rnacentral:rRNA from 1 species
AUUCGAUUGGGAAUUUUCCGCAAUGGGCGAAAGCCUGACGGAGCAACGCCGCGUGAGGGAUGAAGGCCUCUGGGCUGUAAACCUCUUUUCUCAAGGAAGAAGAUCUGACGGUACUUGAGGAAUAAGCCACGGCUAAUUCCGUGCCAGCAGCCGCGGUAAUACGGGAGUGGCAAGCGUUAUCCGGAGUUAUUGGGCGUAAAGCGUCCGCAGGCGGUUCUGUAAGUCUGCCGUUAAAGCGUGGAGCUUAACUCCAUUUCGGCGGUGAAAACUGCAGGACUUGAGUGUGGUAGGGGCAGAGGGAAUUCCCGGUGUAGCGGUGAAAUGCGUAGAUAUCGGGAAGAACACCAGUGGCGAAAGCGCUCUGCUGGGCCAUAACUGACGCUCAUGGACGAAAGCCAGGGGAGCGAAAGGGAUUAGAUACCCCUGUAGUCA